AGGGUUUAUCCGGUGUGGAUACCCAACCGCCCCUCCACCCGGUGUCAAGAGCACACGGUCAGCGCUGAGCUGCGGGUGUAGCCCAAAGGACAUGAGACCUCGUGUUCUGGGAGAGGACAGACAGAGCUCACCGUCUCCAGCUGAGGAAGAGUCAGCCAUGGUGGAGUUUUACUCACAGAGUGUCGUAAUUUUGGAUCUGUCUUAAGAUGAUCACAUACUUCAACUUGAAGGCUAAACUAGAAACAGACUACAAAAGACAAGGACUACUUUACUCUAAACGCAUAAGUGAGGUUUGAAUUAAAAUGACUGUGAAGUACAGCUAUCUAGCAACUAUGAGAGAUGUCACCCAGAAGAUGAGAACGAUAUAGAGAAGCAAGCUGUUGCUUUUCUUCACGGAGGACACAGAGGACCAUCCAAGAUUCCAGUUCUCUGUUGAUGUUCUUCAUCUGGUCAUCUAUAUUUCGUGCACACUAAUG